rnacentral:rRNA from 1 species
AGAGUUUGAUCCUGGCUCAGGAUGAACGCUGGCGGUCUGCGUAACACAUGCAAGUCGAACGGUCUCUUCGGAGAUAGUGGCGGACGGGUGAGUAACGCGUGAGGAUCUGCCUUCAGGCUGGGGACAACUACUGGAAACGGUAGCUAAUACCCAAUAUGCAGAAAUGUGAAAGAGCAUCCGCCUGAAGAUGAACUCGCGUCCGAUUAGCUAGUUGGUGGGGUAAAGGCCUACCAAGGCAAUGAUCGGUAGCUGGUCUGAGAGGAUGAUCAGCCACACUGGAACUGAGACACGGUCCAGACUCCUACGGGAGGCAGCAGUGGGGAAUUUUCCGCAAUGGGCGCAAGCCUGACGGAGCAAGACCGCGUGAGGGAGGAAGGCUCUUGGGUCGUAAACCUCUUUUGUCAGGGAAGACACUGACGGUACCUGACGAAUCAGCAUCGGCUAACUCCGUGCCAGCAGCCGCGGUAAUACGGAGGAUGCAAGCGUUAUCCGGAAUUAUUGGGCGUAAAGAGUCCGUAGGUGGUUAGGUAAGUCUUUUGUUAAAGCCAGUCGCUUAACGACUGAACAGCAGAGGAAACUGCCUGACUAGAGAGCAGUAGGGGUCACGGGAAUUCCCAGUGUAGCGGUGAAAUGCGUAGAUAUUGGGAAGAACACCAGUGGCGAAGGCGCGUGACUGGGCUGCAUCUGACACUGAGGGACGAAAGCUAGGGGAGCGAAAGGGAUUAGAUACCCCUGUAGUCCUAGCCGUAAACGAUGGACACUCGAUGCUGCGCGAUCGACGUGCAGUGUCUUAGCUAACGCGUUAAGUGUCCCGCCUGGGGAGUACGCACGCAAGUGUGAA